CCUACGGGAGGCAGCAGUGGGGAAUAUUGCACAAUGGGGGGAACCCUGAUGCAGCAACGCCGCGUGAGUGAAGAAGUAUCUCGGUAUGUAAAGCUCUAUCAGCAGGGAAGAAAAUGACGGUACCUGACUAAGAAGCACCGGCUAAAUACGUGCCAGCAGCCGCGGUAAUACGUAUGGUGCAAGCGUUAUCCGGAUUUACUGGGUGUAAAGGGAGCGCAGGCGGCGCGGCAAGUCAGAUGUGAAAGCCCGGGGUUCAACCCCGGGACUGCAUUUGAAACUGCCGGGCUAGAGGGUCGGAGAGGCAAGUGGAAUUCCUAGUGUAGCGGUGAAAUGCGUAGAUAUUAGGAGGAACACCAGUGGCGAAGGCGGCUUGCUGGACGAUCACUGACGCUGAGGCUCGAAAGCGUGGGGAGCAAACAGGAUUAGAUACCCCAGUAGUC
rnacentral:rRNA from 1 species